rnacentral:hammerhead_ribozyme from 1 species
AUCCAGCUGACGAGUUCAAAAUAGGAGGAACAGCGCGUCCUGGAU